rnacentral:miRNA from 1 species
UGACAGGUCAUUAGAGAGAAGA